rnacentral:rRNA from 1 species
CCAGACUCCUACGGGAGGCAGCAGUGAGGAAUAUUGGUCAAUGGUCGGAAGACUGAACCAGCCAUGCCGCGUGCAGGAAGAAUGCCUUAUGGGUUGUAAACUGCUUUUAUAUGGGAAGAAUAAGGAGUACGUGUACUUUGAUGACGGUACCAUAUGAAUAAGCAUCGGCUAACUCCGUGCCAGCAGCCGCGGUAAUACGGAGGAUGCGAGCGUUAUUCGGAAUCAUUGGGUUUAAAGGGUCUGUAGGCGGGCUAUUAAGUCAGGGGUGAAAGGUUUCAGCUUAACUGAGAAAUUGCCUUUGAUACUGGUAGUCUUGAAUAUCUGUGAAGUUCUUGGAAUGUGUAGUGUAGCGGUGAAAUGCUUAGAUAUUACACAGAACACCGAUUGCGGAGGCAGGGGACUAACAGACGAUUGACGCUGAGAGACGAAAGCGUGGGGAGCGAACAGGAUUAGAUACCCUGGUAGUCCACGCUGUAAACGAUGGAUACUAGCUGUUUGGAGUAAUUUGAGUGGCUAAGCGAAAGUGAUAAGUAUCCCACCUGGGGAGUACGCACGCAAGUGUGAAACUCAAAGGAAUUGACGGGGGCCCGCAAAG